GAACGAACGCUGGCGGCAGGCCUAACACAUGCAAGUCGAACGCUCGUAGCAAUACGAGAGUGGCAGACGGGUGAGUAACACGUGGGAACCUUCCCUAUGGUUCGGAAUAGCCCAGGGAAACUUGGGGUAAUACCGGAUAAGCCCUUCGGGGAAAGAUUUAUCGCCAUUGGAUGGGCCCGCGUCGGAUUAGCUAGUUGGUGAGGUAACGGCUCACCAAGGCGACGAUCCGUAGCUGGUCUGAGAGGAUGAUCAGCCACA
rnacentral:rRNA from 1 species